CUUGGUCAUUUAGAGGAAGUAAAAGUCGUAACAAGGUUUCCGUAGGUGAACCUGCGGAAGGAUCAUUACCGAAUUGUCAACACGAGUUGUUGCUGGUCCUCAAAUGGGGGCAUGUGCACGCUCUGUUCACACAUCCACUCACACCUGUGCACCCUCUGUAGUUCUAUAGUCUGGGGGGGCUCUGCCCUCUCACCUGUGGUUCUAUGUCUUUACACACGCACUGUAACAAAGUUUCAUGGAAUGCAUGACGCGUUUAACGCAAUACAAUACAACUUUCAGCAACGGAUCUCUUGGCUCUCGCAUCGAUGAAGAACGCAGCGAAAUGCGAUAAGUAAUGUGAAUUGCAGAAUUCAGUGAAUCAUCGAAUCUUUGAACGCACUUUGCGCCCUUUGGUAUUCCAGAGGGCAUGCCUGUUUGAGUAUCAUGAACACCUCAACUCCUCACGGUCCGCCGUGAUGAGCUUGGACUUUGGGGGUCUUGCUGGCCUGCGGUCGGCUCCUCUCAAAUGAAUCAGCUUGCCAGUGUUUGGUGGCAUCACGGGUGUGAUAACUAUCUACGCUUGUGGUUUUCCACCAGGUAACCUUCAGCAAUGGAGGUUCGCUGGGGCUCACAAAUGUCCCUCCUCGGUGAGGACAGCUUCUUGAAUGUUUGAUCUCAAAUCAGGUAGGGCUACCCGCUGAACUUAAGCAUAUCAAUAAGCGGAGGA
rnacentral:rRNA from 1 species